rnacentral:rRNA from 1 species
GCGCGGACUUAAGCAUAUCAAUAAGCGGAGGAAAAGAAACCAACAGGGAUUGCCCCAGUAACGGCGAGUGAAGCGGCAACAGCUCAAAUUUGAAAUCUGGCUCUCAGGGCCCGAGUUGUAAUUUGUAGAGGAUGCUUUUGGCGAGGUGCCUUCCGAGUUCCCUGGAACGGGACGCCACAGAGGGUGAGAGCCCCGUAUGGUCGGACACCGAGCCUCUGUAAAGCUCCUUCGACGAGUCGAGUAGUUUGGGAAUGCUGCUCAAAAUGGGAGGUAUAUGUCUUCUAAAGCUAAAUAUUGGCCAGAGACCGAUAGCGCACAAGUAGAGUGAUCGAAAGAUGAAAAGCACUUUGAAAAGAGGGUUAAAAAGUACGUGAAAUUGUUGAAAGGGAAGCGCCUAUGACCAGACUUGCGCCCGGUGAAUCACCCAGCGUUCUCGCUGGUGCACUUUGCCGGGCACAGGCCAGCAUCAGUUCAGCGCGGGGGAGAAAGGCUUCGGGAAUGUGGCUCCCUCGGGAGUGUUAUAGCCCGCUGCGUAAUGCCCUGCGCCGGACUGAGGUACGCGCAUUGCAAGGAUGCUGGCGUAAUGGUCAUCAGCGACCCGUCUUGAAACACGGACCAAGGAGUCGUCUUCGUAUGCGAGUGUUCGGGUGUCAAACCCCUACGCGUAAUGAAAGUGAACGCAGGUGAGAGCUUCGGCGCAUCACCGACCGAUCCUGAUGUUCUCGGAUGGAUUUGAGUAAGAGCAUACGGGGCCGGACCCGAAAGAAGGUGAACUAUGCCUGUAUAGGGUGAAGCCAGAGGAAACUCUGGUGGAGGCUCGCAGCGGUUCUGACGUGCGAAUCGAUCGUCAAAUAUGGGCAUGGGGGCGAAAGACUAAUCGAC